rnacentral:rRNA from 1 species
CAGCUAGUUGGCGGGGUAAUGGCCCACCAAGGCGACGAUCCGUAGCUGGUCUGAGAGGAUGAUCAGCCACACUGGAACUGAGACACGGUCCAGACUCCUACGGGAGGCAGCAGUGGGGAAUAUUGGACAAUGGGCGCAAGCCUGAUCCAGCCAUGCCGCGUGGGUGAAGAAGGCCUUCGGGUUGUAAAGCCCUUUUGUUCGGGAAGAAAUCGUACGGGUGAAUAUCCCGUGCGGAUGACGGUACCGGAAGAAUAAGCACCGGCUAACUUCGUGCCAGCAGCCGCGGUAAUACGAAGGGUGCAAGCGUUACUCGGAAUUACUGGGCGUAAAGCGUGCGUAGGCGGUUUGUUAAGUCCGCUGUGAAAAGCCCUGGGCUCAACCUGGGAAUUGCAGUGGAUACUGGCAAGCUAGAGUGCGGUAGAGGAUGGUGGAAUUC